rnacentral:rRNA from 1 species
AUAACGACCAUGUUCGUUAUGUGCCAGAGGAUGGGGCUGCGGCCGAUCAGGCCGUUGGCGAGGUAACGGCUCACCAAACCUUUGACCGGUACGGGCCAUGAGAGUGGUAGCCCGGAGAUGGACACUGAGAUAGGGGCCCAGGCCCUACGGGGCGCAGCAGGCGCGAAAACUCCACACUGUACGUAAGUACGAUGGGGUUACCUCGAGUGUAGUCUGUAAAAGAUUGCUUUUCCAUAGAGUAAUAUCCUGUGGGAAUAAGAGGGGGGCAAGACUGGUGUCAGCCGCCGCGGUAACACCAGCCCCUCGAGUGGUAGGGACUUUUAUUUGGCCUAAAGCGUUCGUAGCCGUCUGUAACCGUUGCCCGUUAAAUCCAGCGUCUCAAGCGUUGGACUGCGGGCGAUACCUUACAGAUUGAGGGUGGGAUAGGUAAGCGGUAUUUCUGGGGUAGGGGCGAAAUCCUUUGAUCCCAGGAGGACCACCAGUGGCGAAGGCUGCUUACUAGAACACGCCUGACGGUCAGGAACGAAAGCUGGGGUAGCGAACCGGAUUAGAUACCCGGGUAGUCCCAGCUGUAAACGAUGCGCGCUAGGUGUUGGGUCGGCCAUGCGCCGCCCCAGUGCCGCAGGGAAGCCGUUAAGCGCGCCGCCUGGGGAGUACGGCCGCAAGGCUGAAACUUAAAGGAAUUGGCGGGGGAGCAC